GCAUGAGCCACUGCACCCCGCCAUAUUAGUUUUUUUUGUUGUUGUUGUUGUUUUUAAGACACAGGCUCUUGCUAUGUUGUCCAGGCUGGCCUCAAACUCCUGGGCUGAAGCUGUCCUCCUGCCUCAGCCUCCAGAGUGGCUGAGAUGACAAAGAUGCAUGCACCAGGGCACACUUAUCAUGUAAAUUAUUUGGGGUGGAUCAUGCCAGUUCCUAAAUCAAAUAAUUAACUGGUUUUCCUUAAUCUAGAGACAGUAACAAAUAAUGUGGAUCUCAUUCAUCACUCAAGAUGUUAGGCGCUAUGGCUGGGUUCUGUGGCUCACGCCUGUCAU
rnacentral:lncRNA from 10 species